rnacentral:rRNA from 1 species
ACGUUACCGACAGAAUAAGCACCGGCUAACUCUGUGCCAGCAGCCGCGGUCAUACAGAGGGUGCAAGCGUAAUCGGAAUUACUGGGCGUAAAGCGCACGUAGGUGGUUUGUUAAGUCGGAUGUGAAAUCCCCUGCGCUCCACCUGGGAACUGCAUUCCAAACUGGCUGAGCUAGAGUAUGGUAGAGGGUGGUGGAAUUUCCUGUGUAGCGGUGAAAUGCGUAGAUAUAGGAAGGAACACCGGUGGCGAAGGCGAGCCACCUGGACUAAUACUGACAGCUGCAGGUGCGAAAGCGUGGGGAGCAAACAGGAUUAGAUACCCUGGUAGUCCACGCCCGUAAACGAUGUCGAACUAGGCCGGUUGGUGACGCCUUGAGGCUCGUUGAGUGGCGCAGCUAACGCAUUAAGUUGUAUCU